GACGAACGCUGGCGGCGUGCUUAACACAUGCAAGUCGAACGGAAAGGCCCUGCUUUUGUGGUGUGCUCGAGUGGCUAACGGGUGAGUAACACGUGAGUAACCUGCCCUUGACUUUGGGAUAACUUCAGGAAACUGGGGCUAAUAACGGAUAGGAGCGCCUGCUUCAUGGCGGGGGGUGGAAAGGUUCGGCGGUUGGGGAUGGACUCGGGGCUUAUCAGCUUGUUGGUGGGGUAGUGGAUUACCAAGGAUUUGACGGGUAGCCGGCCUGAGAGGGUGACCGGCCACAUUGGGACAGAGAUACGGGCAGGACUGCUACGGGCGGCAGAAGUGGGGAAUAUUGGACGAUGGGCGGAAGGCUGAUGCAGGAACGCCGCGUGCGGGAUGACGGCCUUCGGGGUGUAAACCGCUUUCGCCUGUGACGGAGCGUGAGUGACGGUAAUGGGUUAAGAAGCAACGGCUAACUACGUG
rnacentral:rRNA from 1 species